rnacentral:rRNA from 1 species
CGCGUAGGUGGCUUUGUGUGUCUACCGUGAAAGCGUACGGCUCAACCGUAUUUUGUCGGUAGAAACUGCAGGACUUGAGGCUGGGAGGGGCUGGUGGAAUUCCCUGUGUAGCGGUGAAAUGCGUAGAGAUGGGGGAGAACACUCGUGGCGAAGGCGGCCAGCUAGACCAGUUCUGACACUGAGGCGCGACAGCGUGGGGAGCAAACA